CAGUAAACUAGUAAAUACAGUUUUCUGCAUCUCGCUCCUUUUUCUUUUAUGUUUGUCGCCUUCCUCGCAUUCAAACCGAUUCGAGCCGAAGUCCACUACAUGUCCAAAAUGGCGGUCGUGUUUACGAAGGUCACGUGACUGAAAAGGGUCUAUAAGCGGAAUGUGAAAUGGGUGGGGGUUGGGGCAUUGGGGGAAGAGAAGUGUUGUACUGAAAUAUGGCUGCUUAUUAAGGCUGGUGUUCUACACGAUGGCUUGUAAAUGUGUGCACACGGCGAAAAACAUCCCUGUAUUUUGUAUUUACCUGUAAAUAAUGAUUUUACAGCAGCUGUUCUAGGACACAUUUUGCCUCUGUGGAGUGGUGUGGAGACAUAAAUACCAGCACUAUUUGGUUCCCUCAGUUGUGUGUUAUGCAAAGAGACCAACACUUUUAGUAUGUAUUGAUCUAAUAGAGUAAUACAUAAACCUACUUUUAGGUUCGUUUGAUUCAAGCACUAAUGAUUUUGUCAGAAAAUCACAUUAAAAUUCAUGUGCUGUAAAGACUUUAUUCACGUAGUCUCAGGGCUUUUCAAAGUGGGGGGCGCAACGUGAGAGACAAAAUGGAUCGGUUUUUAGCUGUCUAUGGUUUUUAGUACCUAAAGCUACAGUGAGGGAGGAGACAAAGUCUGGGCCAAGCAAAAAAACAGAGCCUCCAGGAUGUUGCGAUUUGCAACUUCAGCGCAAAUUCAACCAAUCCCCGCGAAUUCAGGGCGGUGUUGCAAUUGUAUCCAAUCACCGCAACUUUCCCGCAAAUUUGACCAAUCGUUGGCGUCGUCUUGAGGUGACGUCGACAAACUACCUUCCGCCUUACUUCCGUGUGUUCAAGAGAAGCAGCAUGCGCGUCGUGUUGCCAGAUUGGAUGAUUUCAAGUGCAUUUUGGCGGGUUUUGAACAUAUUUUGGACUGGAAAACGUCAGCAGUAUCUGGCAACACUGAAGUGUGUUAUGUUUACAGUGAAGGACUGUGUGCACUUUAUUUUUUUUUUUACUUAAUACAAGAAGUUAAUGGAUGCCAACAUUUUUGCCAAAAUGGUAUUUUAUUUUCCAUUGUUUAGGCAGCUUCAGCAUCAUACUGUGAGAUUCUGUUCAAAUUGUUUUUUUUCUUCUAUGAAGCCUGAGCCAUUUAUUUUAUUAGUUUAUAAUUAUUGUUUAAUUUAGUCUUCAGGAGAGACUGCCUGCACACAGUACUAGUAUUAAUAGGUUUUUUUUUUCUUACAUGAAAGCUGAGGCAUUUAUAUUCUAUUUUAAGGUAACUUCAUGUUGUGCUGUGAGGUUCUAUGCACUUUAACUUUUGAACCAACAGGUGCAUUUGGAUAAGUAAAGCCUAUUUUUCUGCAUUUUUGUAGUCCUGGUAAUCUUUUAUAUUGGUAAAGUUGUUUAUAGGACCAUUUCUCUUUGUUUUUUUAAUCAAUAGUUUUUCAGUAAUAACUUAAUAUUUAACAUAUCACUCAAUUUUAAUCACAAAAAGAGAAAAUCGCAACAAUUUCUCGCAACUUUCACUUCCUCCCGCAAUGUAAUCGCAACAAAAACCUAAAAAAACACAACUUUCAUCGCAAUUUUUUGGAAAACCCCCCGCAACAUCAGACAUUUUAGCCCACAACAAUCACAAAAAAGGCCCACGGAAUCCUGGGGGACUGGAAAAAGAAGGAAGUAUGACCACGAUUAUUUAAAGUUUGGAUUUUCAUGGACUGGAUCUGAAGAUGCUCCACUGCCACAGUGUGUUGUCUGCCAAGAGAUGCUAGCUAACGAUGCUAUGGGAUGUUUAAAAUGUGUAAAACAAGAUGUUUUAAAAAGCACAGAUGUUUAAAAUGUGAAAAAGAAAAAAAUAAUGUGUACAACAACCAUUUUUUUAAAAAUACGAAUGGAACAUUAAGUAUAGCAACAACAAAAAUUGUAAGGGGGGGCGCUGUUGUUUAUUUGCUCUCCGAGGGGGGGCUGACUCUCCCACACUUUGAAAACCCCUGGUCUAGAUCGUACGUGUGUAUGUGAUUGGAGGCGUACCUACAGUUACCAGUUUGCAUUUAAUAAAAGAAAAUCAGCAGUAGGAUGCAAAACUCUUCUGUUGGGAAUCACCUCACUGCAUCUAAAUGGAGAUUAAAAUGUAUAUUUGUUCAAAGCAGUGAACUUGUUUACAGCAUGAAACUGUAAGUGAAACAAGGCAGACAGGAAUGCUUGAGUGAAUGAUAAGGUGUCAAAAAUGACAAAGCUGUUGAUAUUUAUCGAA